rnacentral:tRNA from 1 species
GGAAUAUAGCUCAAUUGGUAGAGUAUCUGCCUUGCAUACACAAGGCCCUAGGUUCAAUCCCCAGUACCA